rnacentral:hammerhead_ribozyme from 1 species
AUCCAGUUGAUCAGUCCUAAAUAGGACGAAACGCUCGUCAAACUGGAU